GAUGAACGCUAGCGGCAGGCCUCAUACAUGCAAGUCGAGGGGCAGCAGGACACUUCGGUGUUGCUGGCGACCGGCGCACGGGUGCGUAACAUGUAUGCAAUCUACCUUGUACAGGAGGACAUUCUUGGAGACAAGAUAAAUACUCCAUAUUGUCCAAUUAGCGCAUGCUAAUUGGAUGAAAGCUUCGGCGGUACAAGACGAGCANGCACCCCAUUAGCUAGUUGGUGAGGUAACGGCUCACCAAGGCGACGAUGGGUAGGGGUUCUUAGUGGAA
rnacentral:rRNA from 1 species